GGCGAACGCUGGCGGCGUGCUUAACACAUGCAAGUCGAACGGAAAGGCCCUGCUUUUGUGGGGUGCUCGAGUGGCGAACGGGUGAGUAGCACGUGAGUAACCUGCCCUUGACUUUGGGAUAACUUCAGGAAACUGGGGCUAAUACCGGAUAGGAGCUCCUGCUGCAUGGUGGGGGUUGGAAAGUUUCGGCGGUUGGGGAUGGACUCGCGGCUUAUCAGCUUGUUGGUGGGGUAGUGGCUUACCAAGGCUUUGACGGGUAGCCGGCCUGAGAGGGUGACCGGCCACAUUGGGACUGAGAUACGGCCCAGACUCCUACGGGAGGCAGCAGUGGGGAAUAUUGCACAAUGGGCGGAAGCCUGAUGCAGCAACGCCGCGUGCGGGAUGACGGCCUUCGGGUUGUAAACCGCUUUCGCCUGUGACGAAGCGUGAGUGACGGUAAUGGGUAAAGAAGCACCGGCUAACUACGUG
rnacentral:rRNA from 1 species